GGAGCCAGUCUUCCCAAGGUGAAAUCCUAACUUUGCCACUUACUAGCCAUGUGAACUUGGGCAAGUGACCUAAUCCUCUGCAUUUCAUCUCUAAAUUGGGGAGAAUAGAAGCAUCUACUUCAUGUAGUAGCCAGGAUUAGAAGAGGGAGGAAUAACUGGGCCCUGGAUAGAAUGUGAUGAAUGUAUAUUCUUAAUGAGAAGUGGAAAUAAUUUGUGGUUGAGAGCUGUGCCUCAGAUCAGAGUGACAGGAUACAUGGCUAGGCUAUAUUUUCCAGCAGAUUAAGAGCUGCGGCCCAAGACUCUGAAAUAUGAAGAAAAAAGGAGAAGAUGACAGCAUAUCUUUUUAAAGAAAUAUUUUCCAGCCAAAUGGUGUAGCAGAGGACUUCCAGGAAUUUGUUCUUGUUCUGUAUCAAAGGUGAAGAGUUCGUAGCCUUCAAGGAAACAAGAAACCAUGGGAUGGAGUGAAGGAAGGUGGCCUGGAACCAGCUGCUGAGCCUCUCUGAGCCCCAGUUUCCUCGUCUCUAAAAUGGGGCUGAUCUCCUCUCCCUCAGACUGUUGUUGCAGGAAUUAAAACAGGUGUUGAGUGGGAAAGCAUCAGUCCCAUAGCAAAUGGCCCCUGAGUAGUAGGAUCUGAGUUCUGGUUCUGGUCCUGCUGGGGUAUGGCUGGUUGAGAGGUCAAAGAGGUAAUUAAAG
rnacentral:lncRNA from 1 species